CUUGAGCGAGCCCAGCCACAGCGGCCGGUCGCGGUGCUUGCCGUAGGUGGCCAGCAGCGCCUGGGCCUC
rnacentral:antisense_RNA from 1 species